GUUGAUUUAGGUUUUCUAAGGAAAUUAAUAGGGAAAAAGGUAAAAGCCUUUGCAGCCCCCGCUACUGUGAAACGGAUGAAAUCAUUAAUAACCACUAUCUUAUUUUAAGAUGGGAAGGAAUGAGAGUAAGUUGAUGUUGAGCCAGGAGACCUGCCUAAAUUGAUU
rnacentral:ncRNA from 1 species